AUGUUCUCUGUCGAGACAUUGUUUCAGUAUAUGCAUACUAUGUAUCUUUAUACCAUAAUUUCUGGCAAAUGGUUAUUUUAUUUAGCAAAUGUAACAGAUUAUGAUGUCUAUGCGAGCCUCCUUUUUGUGCUAUCACGUCAUACCAGUGUUCUACUACUAACAAUGAUUAUAAGAAAUAUCAAUAUCUGUACUUCAUGCUUCAUCCCUGAACAUAUAUUCUCUCAAGAAUGUUUUGUUAUCCAUUUUUUGCGGGCAAGAAUGUUUUGUUUUCCUGAAUGUCUAUUUCAAGCAGUGUCUAAUUAUUUUUGUCUUUAG
rnacentral:rRNA from 1 species